rnacentral:rRNA from 1 species
UACGUAGGGGGCAAGCGUUGUCCGGAUUUAUUGGGCGUAAAGCGCACGCAGGCGGUCUGGUAAGUUUCGCGUGACAGGUGGUGGCUUAACUGCCACAGGACGUGAAAAACUGGCAGACUUGAGGGCAAAAGAGGGAUGCGGAAUUCCAGGUGGAGCGGUGAAAUGCGUAGAGAUCUGGAAGAACACCAAAGGCGAAGGCAGCAUCCUGGAUUGUUACUGACGCUCAUGUGCGAAAGCCAGGGGAGCGAACGGG